rnacentral:rRNA from 1 species
CGCGACCCCAGGUCAGUCGGGACCACCCGCUGAGUUUAAGCAUAUAAAUAA